rnacentral:rRNA from 1 species
ACGCUCGACACCUACGGGAGACAGCAGUUGGGAAUAUUGGACAAUGGAGGAAACUCUGAUCCAGUGACGCCGCGUGAAGGAAGAAGGUCUUCGGAUUGUAAACUUAUUUUGUCAGGGAAGAAAAAUGACUGUACCUGAAGAAAAAGCACCGGCUAACUACGUGCCAGCACGCCGCGUAUCNGAGCGGNNGNAG